GACGAACGCUGGCGGCGUGCUUAACACAUGCAAGUCGAACGGAAAGGCCCUGCUUUUGUGGGGUGCUCGAGUGGCGAACGGGUGAGUAACACGUGAGUAACCUGCCCUUGACUUUGGGAUAACUUCAGGAAACUGGGGCUAAUACCGGAUAGGAGCUCCUGCUGCAUGGUGGGGGUUGGAAAGUUUCGGCGGUUGGGGAUGGACUCGCGGCUUAUCAGCUUGUUGGUGGGGUAGUGGCUUACCAAGGCUUUGACGGGUAGCCGGCCUGAGAGGGUGACCGGCCACAUGGGGACUGAGAUACGGCCGAGACUAGUAAGGGAGGCAGCAGUGGGGAAUAAUGCACGAUGGGCGGAAGCCGGAUGCAGCAAGGCCGCGUGCGGGAUGACGGCCUUCGGUUAGAAAACCGGUUACGCCUGUAAUGAGGCGUGAGUGACGGUAAUGGGUAAAGAAGCACCGGCUAACUACGUG
rnacentral:rRNA from 1 species